UGCGUAGGUGGCAAGCGUUGUCCGGAAUUAUUGGGCGUAAAGCGCGCGCAGGCGGUCCUUUAAGUCUGAUGUGAAAGCCCACGGCUCAACCGUGGAGGGUCAUUGGAAACUGGGGGACUUGAGUGCAGAAGAGGAGAGCGGAAUUCCACGUGUAGCGGUGAAAUGCGUAGAGAUGUGGAGGAACACCAGUGGCGAAGGCGGCUCUCUGGUCUGUAACUGACGCUGAGGCGCGAAAGCGUGGGGAGCGAACAGG
rnacentral:rRNA from 1 species